UCAUUUGCAGAUGGCAAAGCUGUACUUGGCAGGUUCUCUCUCACACGCAUACAUAUGCACAGAGUGUCAUCUCAUAUGAACUCCUGCUUGCACAUACAUGCUCGAACUGAUUUCAUCUUUUGUUUUAACGGUUUUUAGGUUCGGUGACAUAUCAUCAGUUAAACUAAAAAUGCUGAAUAUCCAUUUCUUACCUGUUAAUAUAUCAAGCAAGGAUCACGGCAGCAUUGUAAAGGUGAUUCAUGGGCAGGCAUAGAAAACCCAUUGGAGUGGCUCUUUUCUAGCAGUUUGGCAUCAAAUUAUCAGGACCUUCAUUUGCUGCUCUUUUCAUACACUAAAGCAAUAUACAGAAAGCCUAGAUAGCCAAAAUGUUAGUUAUGAUAUUGAACUUAUUUUUAUUAUUUAAAAAAUUAAUAACACAAGUAACUGAUUUAGUAUAGAUUGUCUUUGUCUUAGGUUAAAUUAUGAUUAUAGUCUUUUUACUAUAUUUAGGUUUAAGAUUCGGUUUGUAUGUUUCAAUUUGAUAUAAUCUAAUUUGUUUACUUUUAAAAUAA